GGUGCUGGGCCUGGCGCUAGUGGAUGAGCCUAAGUCCUAUCAGCUAGUUGGUGGGGUAAAAGCCUACCAAGGCGACGACGGGUAGCUGGUCUGAGAGGAUGAUCAGCCACACUGGGACUGAGACACGGCCCAGACUCCUACGGGAGGCAGCAGUGGGGAAUAUUGGACAAUGGGCGAAAGCCUGAUCCAGCAAUGCCGCGUGUGUGAAGAAGGCCUGCGGGUUGUAAAGCACUUUCAGUGGGGAAGAAAAGCUUGGUGUGAACAGCGCCGAGUCUUGACGUUACCCAAAGAAGAAGCACCGGCUAACUCCGUGCCAGCAGCCGCGGUAAUACGGAGGGUGCGAGCGUUAAUCGGAAUCACUGGGCGUAAAGCGCGCGUAGGCGGCAGAGUAAGUCGGGUGUGAAAGCCCUGGGCUUAACCCAUGAACUGCAUUCGAUACUGCUUAGCUAGAGUAUGGUAGAGGGAAGCGGAAUUCCCGGGUGUAGCGGUGAAAUGCGUAGAGAUCCGGAGGAACACCAGUGGCGAAAGCGGCUUUCCUGGACCAAUACUGGACGGCUGGAGGGUGCGAAAGCGUGGGGGAGCAAACAGGGAUUAGAUACCCUGGGUAGUCCACGCCUAAAACGAUGUCGACUAGCCGUUGGCACUCAAUAUUAAGGGUUUAGUGGGCGCAGCUAACGGCGUUUAAAGUCGACCGCCUGGGGGAGUACGGGCCGCAAAGGUUUAAAACUCAAAAGGAAAUUUGACGGGGGGCCCGCACAAAGCGGGUGGGAGCAUGUGGGUUUUAAUUUCGAUGCAAACGCGAAAGAACUCUUUACCAGCUUCUUGACAUUCUGCGGAACCUGGGCAGAGAUGCCCAGGGUGCUCUUCGGGAACCGCAAAGACUAGGUGCUGCAUGGGCUGUCGUCAAGCUCGUGUCGUGAGAUGUUGGGUUAAGUCCCGUAACGAGCGCAAACCCCUUGUCUCUUAGUUGCCCAGCCACUUUGGGUGGGAAACUCUAAAGGGAGACUGCCGGUGACCAAACCCGGAGGGAAGGUGGGGAUGACGUCCAAGUUCAUCCAUGGCUCUUUAUGGGCUGGGCUACCACCACGUGCUACCAAUGGUCGGUACCAAAGGGGUUGCCCAACCCCGCGAGGGGGAGCUGAUUCCUCGUAAAGCCGAUCGUAUUCCGGAUCGGAUUCUGCGACUCGACUCCGUGAAUUCGAAUCGCUAUAAUGCGAUCUGAACGCCGCUGUAAAUACGUUCUUUGGCUUU
rnacentral:rRNA from 1 species